CAUCUUUAGCGCUUUCCGUUCAGUGUCGCCGUUCUCACUUUUUUUUUUUUAAUAGAUUUUUAUAUGACACACAUAAUUACAGAAACUUUAGCGUUUUGUUAAAACUCUCGAGACCAUGGUUACUGAAAGAGUUAUUCUGGAUGUCGCACAAUUUCGCCUUUUAAAUAUACUGUUAUGAACUUAUAACGCUAGAAUUCGUUGCAUUUGUUAUUAUGGAUUUCUGCGGUAUGGCAAUACGUUUAACAUGACGUGACACUUGUGCUGUGUUGCUCUCCAAGGAAACCGAUGCUCAGAGAACCAGCACUAAUGUUCUACUACUACUUAUUGGAAAUUGUCAGAACAUGAUGGAUGUGGAUCAUCAUGCUUUGCAGAAGGCUGGGGAGAAGUUUGCAUUCAUUUUAUAAAAAGCUGAAACCACUCCUCUGAAUUGGUGACAGUCUUUCAAGAACCCCCAUGAUCCAGCGUCCCUCCCAAUGGUACAACCUGUCAGCCCUGAACAUGGAGAGUUAUAAGGGGAAAACUUAGCGAUACGGUGACCUUGAUGAUAGUGUGACAGUCAUCGGUGAAGAACUUUGUUCCACCUGGAGGAGAUGAAGAUAUUUAGGUCCAUGUAAAUAAGCCCAUUUAGGUGCCGCUAGCAUCAGCUCAUGCUAAAAUAAAGACUGUUUUUGGAGGACGCAAUGGGCUUGCAUGAGACAAGUACUCCCAGAGAAGAGGAGGACACACCCCGGACAGGACCAGCACUAGUGACCCCUCAAAAACAUGAGAGGUGCAUAAUGCCCCUGCAUGAGUGCCACCAAUCCAAAUGACCAAAAUUAUGUUUUCAUGAGAGCACAGUACAUGUAUACAGUAAGUGUUUCUGUCCUA
ensembl:lncRNA